CCUGACGGCUCAGAUGGUAAAGCAUCUGCCUGCAAUGCGGGAGACCAGGGUUCGAUCCCUGAGUCAGGA
rnacentral:tRNA from 1 species